rnacentral:rRNA from 1 species
UACGGGGGGGGCAAGCGUUGUUCGGAAUUACUGGGCGUAAAGGGCUCGUAGGUGGCCAACUAAGUCAGACGUGAAAUCCCUCAGCUUAACUGGGGAACUGCGUCUGAUACUGGAUGGCUUGAGUUUGGGAGAGGGAUGCGGAAUUCCAGGUGUAGCGGUGAAAUGCGUAGAUAUCUGGAGGAACACCGGUGGCGAAGGCGGCAUCCUGGACCGGCAUUGGCGCUGAGGCGCGAAAGCCAGGUGAGCAAACGGG